GGAACAUGUCUUGAAAGAACUCUGGUUAUAAUGGCAGAUAAUCUCUUCCUAAAUGGAACUGAUUUCCUGAAACCUUAUGCCCUAGCCACCCACGUCAUAUCAGGGAAAUGGUACACGUUAACCAUAAUCAAAACUGAAACUUGUUUCACAGUUACAUGCUGACCACAUCGCAUUGCAAAAUAAAUGUACACAUACAGGUUAUUCAAUCAUUGUGCCAACGAGCGUCUGCGAUGCCAAACCCUAAAAUAGAAAUCAGUUCUAUUUGUGACGCUGAACGCGGUGCAAGUCCUACUUCUACCAUCUUCUCAUUGGUUUAUAGAAGCAUAAAUCCACGUGCCACCUCCUCAUUGGUUAUACCCACGUGGGUGAUUGAAAGAUGACCUGAGGUCGGUUGGUUGGUCAGCUGUGGUAAUACACCUUAUUAUGAAAGUUAGAUGCCAAUCGCCAUAUAAAGUCCAAAGAAAAAGAAGCCUGGAAGGAGGAGAGAUGACUAGAAACGAUUCGGUUGAUCGUUUUAUCUGUGGAUUAAUUGUCGGAGUAGAGGACCUUGUGCAUUUCAGGUAAAAUAACAACCCAGGACAAAUUAGCUAGCAACAGAAAGCUAUCUACCUAAAUUGCCAUAAAUGUUUAAUGCUUUUUGACCUGUCCACAAAUUAAUAUAAUUUCUUCAGAGUUUGUUUUUAUAUUUCAACCUGCGUGUCCUGAUCGCGUUUGGUGUAGGGGGAGAAAAUCAAUUUGCGGACGCGGUUUGGGCAUGAUGUUAUUAGGCCUAUAUAAUGUAAACUCAAUGAUGGCGAUUUUAUGCAUGUUUAACUUAAGUGUUUUGAAUACUGAUAUCUGGUUUAUUCAUUUAACAGGUGAUGGCACUUUUAGUGGUGGAAGUGCAGUGUGUUUUAAUCCAUAUGAAGCUUUAACAGUAUAGUGACUUAGUUACUAAUUUGUCAUCUUUUCUCCCGGUGGAUCAUAAAGAUUUGGGAUUCUAAAGAAUAUCCCAUAUAAUAGAUGAUCACUUUGGGACAAAACAAACUGAGGGAACAGUCUUCACAGUUUUAAUGAUUUCUAAAUUAGUUGUACGCAGCAUAGAAAUUAUACAGUCAUCUCUGAAUGUCAUAGUUUUAAAUCUCACGUAACAUUUCUGGAUUUUUUUUUCUCUUGAUCAUCUCCUGGAUGAAAAGUGAGGAAAUUGACCGUUGCUUUUUAUUUUCACUUUAUUAACAAAAAUCCUGAAUUGCCAAAGUUACUUUAAUUGGAAAAUAAUUGGAAAGGCAACAGGCUUUUGAACCUUGAGGGAGAAGUCUACCACUGGGCAGCCCUGGGUGAUGCAGCCCAGAGAGAUGAUGUCCACAUGGGGGGAGAAAUACUGGGGCAGGGAGUCUGAGGUCACCCCUCCACUGGCCUCGAUUAGCACAAAAGGGAACUCCUCCUUCAGAAGCUGGGCUGCUGCAUGGAGUUCCUGAGAGAGGAAGGGACAGACGAGGAAUAGAGGCCGGAAGAGACGAGUGCGGGAAGAGACCGUGUAGGAAAGAAGAGAUUGAACGAAAUGCACAGCACUGACAUACAGGAGGAAGAAGAAUAUUACAUUGAUAGUCCAAUGUACAUGAAUGUCCAACGGAAAUAUUUCUUCUGCUUUAUCAUAAGCCCUCCAGUACGUCUCUACAUUACUUACAUUACUUCCCUGAUGGCUUUGGGAAGUCCUUCAUCAGUCUCACCUGUGGCUUAAAGUUGUCCAGCAUGACAAUGUCGGCUCCUGCCGUGGCCGCCUCACUGCCCUCCUCACGGCUGCCGCACUCCACCUCAAUCUUACUGCUGAAGCCACACACCGAGCGGGCGUCCCUCACUGCCUGGAAGACCCACAGCAUCACCAUCCCACUCAGAUCCUGUCUGUGCAUGGACAAGCCGCCCACCAACAUGGCAUACUUCUCCACCAGCCGGAACCCAGGGGUGGUUUUACGCGUGCCAGCCACAUGGCCAUGCCAGCCUGCCUCCCUGGCGAUGCUCUGUAGCUGGGAGCAGCGGGUGGCUAUCCCCGAGGCCCGGGCCAGGCAGUGGAGGGCCGGUCUCUCCCCGAGGAGGAUACACCUUGCUGGGCCUCUGACCACAGCAGUCUGGGCCACCGCAUCUGGACCUGGUGGAGUGCAGCUGAGCUCAGUGAAGAAAGGCCUGCCUGCCAGCAUGCUGCACGGCGUUUUACACAACAACCUGGCCUCGACCUCAUGUGACCCCACACACAGCCCUGCAGGGUCAAAGUUCGGUGUGUCCUCUGCCAGCCACUCCCGUGCCAGCCGGGUCAGCGUGUGGGGAGGGAGGGUGUGUGACAAGUCAUACUGUGGAGUUGUCAUCUUGAGAGGACAACGGCUGAGUGCACCCUGGCCGACACAUGGACGUGCCUGGUCCCCCCUCUCUGCCUGUUGCUGCCUCAGUCUCCCCCUCAAGUCGCUGCCCCCCCCCACACACACACCCAGAAACGUGGAUUUCUUUACUUACCAUGACAUCUAUGAAAAGCCAUCUGACCAUAGGGUCUUGAAGUGUUUGUACCCUCUAUAGCCUAGCUCUGGGUACUGUCUGAGCCUGCUGGUCACAUAUGACCGUGAUUUAAUACUGGAUGGAAAACAGGCUGUUGCUCUUUCCUUAUUGAAAUGCAUGGUGUAUAAUGAGGUCAAUGUGUCAAGUGUAAGAAAUGCAAAUUACAAUGAAUUAACAACAGCGGUCUUGAUUUUAUGUUUCGUACAGUCCGAUUUGGCAAUUCUGCUCAUUGACAAGACAACCCUGGUUUAAAAUAAUAAAUAAUUUCACCUUUAUUUAACCAGGUAGACUAGUUGAGAACAAGUUCUCAUUUACAACUGCGACCUGGCCAAGAUAAAGCAAAGCAGUUCGACACAUACAGAGUUGCACAUGGAAUAAACAAACAUACAGUAGAAAAGAUAUAUAUAUAUAUACAGUGUGUGCAAAUGAGGUAAGAUAAGGGCGGUAAGGCAAUAAAUAUGCCAUGGUGGCGAAGUAAUUACAAUAUAGCAAUUAAACACUGGAAUGGUAGAUGUGCAGAAGAUGAAUGUGCAAGUAGAGAUACUGGGGUGCAAAGGAGCAAGAUAAAUAAAUACAAUAUGGAAUCAGUAUGGUUGUCUUCAUUGUUGUCAAUAAGACCUUAUUGUAAACCUUGUUCUGUCUCUACAUCAUACACAAUCAUCCAAGUUGGGAUCAAUAAAUGAUUACUAAUAGGGUUGAGGUCAAUUCCAUGGAAAAGCAAUGCAGAAUCAUUUCAACCUUGCCAAUCAUAACCCAAGAGCUAAAGCUGUAUUAGACCAUCUAUAAAUCUGAAUGGUUAUAUUUUUCCAGCCUCUCCCCCAGUUUUACAAAAACGUGACAGGGCCAGGCUGUUGCAAUAGCAGAAUAAACAUUCUUUAUUCUGUUGGUGUGUGUACCUUUGUGUGCUUGUGUGAUGGAUGGGUCAAUGUUUAUAAUAAAUUGAAUGACAAUUCAGCCCAGUGGAUCUUUAUAUUCUACAGAUUCUGAACACUCAUGGAACAAUUGUUACAUGUGUUUUUGUUGCCAUGUAGGCCUAGUAUUUGGCCUUUGUUGGGGUUAGCCAAGGGGAAUGUAAGUCCUUAGGUGCUGGUAGCUGAAGAUGUGUUAGCUCCCAGGUGAUGAGGCAGUGAGUGAGAGACUCUGGACAGUGGACACACAUGUACACUGUGUUCAACACAACGUGUCAAUAAAAUAAAUACUUGCAGUAUUUAUGAAUUUUGAUAGUUUAAGUCAACUGUAAUUCCACGGUCGAGCAUCUGUGCAGUCCCGUGUGGCUCACUUGCAAGGUUGUGUGUCUGAUUCUCAUGGGGGACCAGUAUGAAAAUGUAUGCACUCACUAC
rnacentral:lncRNA from 1 species